rnacentral:snRNA from 1 species
AUACCUUUGUCGGCCUUUUUUGGCUAAGAUCGAGUGUAGUAUCUUUUCUUAUCAGUUUAAUAUCUGAUAUGUGGGCCAAUGGUACAAACGAUAUUAACUCUAUUUUUUGAGGGGGAAGGCUCAUCCAACUAACAAUAUUAACUCUAUUUUUUGAGGGGAAGGCUCAUCAAGGUAGCUUGAUGCCUGGACCUUUGCGUGUUGCCUAAGCGUUGCACAACUGCUUUGGCCUGGUGCCUCCCAC